rnacentral:rRNA from 1 species
GGGUAGCCGGCCUGAGAGGGCGACCGGCCACACUGGGACUGAGACACGGCCCAGACUCCUACGGGAGGCAGCAGUGGGGAAUAUUGCACAAUGGGCGAAAGCCUGAUGCAGCGACGCCGCGUGGGUGAUGAAGGCCUUCGGGUCGUAAAGCCCUGUCGGGUGGAAAGAAUGAGGACUGGGCAAAUAGCGCUGUCCUGUGACGGUCCACCGAAGAGACGCU